AACGUAGGACACAAGCGUUAUCCGGAGUUACUGGGCGUAAAGCGCACGUAGGCGGAUACUUAAGUCAGGGGUGAAAUCCCGGGGCUCAACCCCGGAACUGCCUUUGAUACUGGGUAUCUCGAGUCCGGAAGAGGUGAGUGGAAUUCCGAGUGUAGAGGUGAAAUUCGUAGAUAUUCGGAGGAACACCAGUGGCGAAGGCGGCUCACUGGUCCGGUACUGACGCUGAGGUGCGAAAGCGUGGGGAGCAAACGGG
rnacentral:rRNA from 1 species